GUCAUUUUCUAAAUAUUUAUUUUCUAAUUAUUUUUAUCAUCAUGAUCAUUAUUAUUAUAAUAAAUAAUUGUUGUCUUCAUUAGAAUAUUUAUUUUAUUGUAGUAAUUUAAAGCAAUUUUCUGACAACACAGACGCGCGCGUGCGCAUCAGAGUGUGUGAUUGAUUGGCACGCGCGCUGUGACCGCAUUCCGUCGCGUCGCGUCGCGGGGAGGAGACGCCAGAGACGCGUCGCGGGCGGAGCGGAGCGGAAGGGAGCUGCUGGAGGUCGCGCGCUGAACGCCGGUGGACGCGGUUCUGGAUCGGAGCGCACCGGAGAGAACGGGGAGCGCCGCCGGUUCACCGAGAGUUCCCGAGCAGAAAGAGACGAGCAGCGGCAAAACACAGACGGAGGCUGGUUCGGGAGGGUUCCUCCACAGCGGCUCUGCAGGACUGAAGCUGGAGCAGAUGAUGGAGACGGAGCAGAAGGAGAUCCGGCUGCGUGAAGCUCACAUCAUGUACGUGCAGCAGCUCGCCGCUCGGGCUUCAGGGGCCGGCUUCAUGAGCAGGGGACCCAGUCAUCCAUCACGUGUCUCUAAUCAGAGCAGUUUGGACUCCGAACGCGACCGGGACUCGGAUGAUGAUGAUGGGACGAUGGAGGGCGAUGAAGGUAGUGAGGAAGAUGAGCGGCCCUUCGGGAGCUUCUCGGGCCCCGGGGCCACCGCAGAUGUCCAUGGAGCGCCGUCUCCUGCUGUCAGGGUCAAACAGGAGCCCGAGGACGAUCUCUCACCCGUCGGGCGACCGUCUGUGUCUCCUCCUAACGGCCAAGCGGACUGGAGCUACGAGGAUCACUUUAAAACAAAUAGAGGUGUAUCUUGGUCAGAUGAUGGGGAUGUUGCUCGUGGAAGAGGGGAAGUGUCCAGAGAUUUCGCCAAGUUAUAUGAGCUGGACAGUGACCCGCACAGGAAGGAGUUUCUGGACGACCUUUUCACCUUCAUGAUGAAACGAGGGACUCCGGUGAACAGGAUCCCCAUCAUGGCGAAGCAGGUUCUGGAUCUGUACAAGCUGUACAAGCUGGUGACGGAGAAGGGUGGACUGGUGAAGGUCAUCAACAAGAAGAUCUGGAGAGAGAUCACCAGGGGUCUCAACCUGCCCACCUCCAUCACCAGCGCCGCAUUCACACUCCGCACACAGUAUAUGAAGUAUCUGUAUCCGUACGAGUGCGAGCGCAAGGCGUUGAGUUCUCCCAGCGAGCUGCAGGCCGCCAUCGACAGCAACCGGCGUGAAGGCCGUCGACCCAGUUACAGCAACAGCCUGUUCCGCUUUAGCCCCUCCCCCGGCUCCGCCCCUCACCUCCUGACCCCGCCCAAGAUGCACCUGUCAGCGCUGGGGACCAUAGGGGCCCUGAAUGGACUGCAGGGGCCAUCUCUGAAGAAGGGACUGGACGAUGGGCGCUCGUCCUCCGUGGCGCUGGUGAUGGGGCAGCAGCAGAUGGGUCUGGCUCGGGCUGAGACACUGGAGCAGCUCCGAGAGAAGCUGGAGACGGAUGCACCGGAGAGAAAGAUGCUGCGUCUGGCCGAGGAGCAGCAGAGACUCAUGCAGCAGGCCUUCCAGCACAACCUGCUCACCAUGACCUCACAGAUCCCCGUCAACCUGUGUCCCGGCGCUCCGGCCAGGGAUGAGAAGCAGGAUCUGGCCGUGAGUAUUUCCUCCAGCGGAGCGGCGAGUAUCAGCAUGUCAGUGGAAGUCAAUGGCAUCGUUUACUCCGGAACUCUGUUUGCGCAGAAGUCUGCAUCUGCUGCACCUGGACCCAGCUUCACCUUCUCUAGCUCCGCCCCCAGCCAAAGCCCCGCCUCUUCCUCCUCCUCCAAGGGGCGGAGCUCAGCAGAGCCAUCCACCAGCGGUUCUCCAUAA
ensembl:lncRNA